AUUGAACGCUGGCGGCAGGCCUAACACAUGCAAGUCGAACGAGCGGCGGACGGGUGAGUAAUGUCUGGGAAACUGCCUGAUGGAGGGGGAUAACUACUGGAAACGGUAGCUAAUACCGCAUACCAUCAGAUGUGCCCAGAUGGGAUUAGCUAGUAGGUGGGGUAACGGCUCACCUAGGCGACGAUCCCUAGCUGGCCUGAGAGGAUGACGGGCCACACGGGAACUGAGAAACGGCCCAGACUCCUACGGGAGGCAGCAGUGGGGAAUAUUGCACAAGGGGGGAAAGCUGGAUGCAGCCAGGCGGCGUGUAUGAAGAAGGUUUCCGGGUUGUAAAGUACUUUCAGCGAGGAGGCGUUAACCGCAGAAGAAGCACCGGCUAACUCCGUGCCAGCAGCCGCGGUAAUUC
rnacentral:rRNA from 1 species